GCUUUGGCAUAAAAUAUAUAAAAAAUUUUGGGAAAGAUACAAGAAGAUUAGCAAGGCCCCUGCGCAAAGGGUGACCCCGCAAAAUCUGAAGCGUUCCCCAAUUUU